UUUUGAAGGUAGGACCUUACUGCCACCCGACUAUCACGAGGGGGCCCUUGCCAUGCUAGCCUAACAUUUGCAUCCACGCCAAAUCCGCAGCACGGCAGAUAUAUUUAUGGAAACACCAUCUACGUCUAGUGCCAAAAAGCGCCAAGAACAUAGCAGUCGUAUAAUUUGUAAUCACUCCCACAAAGAAGAAAGCCGAAAGAAAAAACAACCUAUAAUUCGAGGCUCCUCGCCCACAAACUACCACUGGCAAAGCCGGAGUGAGGCCAGCUGACUGAACUGAGCGACAGGAGGAUCUCUGCGGCCGGACCAUGUGAGUUCCUGUCAAAUCACCCGUACUAGUACAUCACAUGUGGAGCUACAGAGACAAGGGAAUUAAGAGGAGGUUCCCAGCAGAGCUUCAUCGUCAUGCUUGCCUCCGCACAUCAGAUCAAGGGAAUUAGAUGGACGGCCCAGAUGGAGCGAAUCUCGAUCGCCGGAACCCAGAUGCAGAGCUUCAUUCCCCGGGGAUCCAGAUCGGGUUCUCUCGUACGCGCGCAUGCAGACCUGCGACUGGGUGGAGUAAAAUCACGUGCUGCGAGCAAAGCGGGCAAGUGCUACCGGCUCGAACCUGGACCUGGAUCAAGUAAUCAUCAAGACAGUUCUGGCAAAUACUAAGAUAUACCUGUGUCUGUCUGCCAGUCAGUCUUCAGUUGCUCGGCCACUUCUCACGAUCAUCUCCAUUUAUUACACACAUU
rnacentral:lncRNA from 1 species